AAGAACAAUCCACGGAAACAAAUUGGUUUGCAACAGAGAUUCCGAUGAUUUACCUCGAAAUCGUGUUGCGCCGGAGUUCGAUGUGUGAAAUCCUGUUCGAUCUAUAUCCAUCGUGCUGAACUUACCAGUGGUUCAAUUGAUUAGGCUAUCUCCAGCCUCUUCUAUGACAUCUCCUAAUUUACAUUUCACUCUAUAAACAUUGUUGUCUAUUGUUGACAUCUUUUAGGUCAAACACCAAUGAUCCCUAGAUCCCGCUCGCAGGGAACAAGAUCUUGAGGAACCUGUUUAAGAGGCGACGGACCGUCCGCAGUAGGUCACCAGACGGUCCGCGGUUAGUCGCUGGAUUGUUCGUUGUAUAUCACUGGACCAUCCACGAUGUGCACAGAGAGCUCUUGUGUAAUACCCAACUUGUAAUUUGUGGAGGAUAACCUAAAAGGAGAAAGGACAUUCCUUUGUAU
rnacentral:lncRNA from 7 species